rnacentral:rRNA from 1 species
AGCGAACGCUGGCGGCAGGCCUAACACAUGCAAGUCGAACGAACUCUUCGGAGUUAGUGGCGGACGGGUGAGUAACACGUGGGAACGUGCCUUUUGGUUCGGAAUAACUCAGGGAAACUUGUGCUAAUACCGAAUGUGCCCUUCGGGGGAAAGAUUUAUCGCCAUUAGAGCGGCCCGCGUCUGAUUAGCUAGUUGGUGAGGUAACGGCUCACCAAGGCGACGAUCAGUAGCUGGUCUGAGAGGAUGACCAGCCACACUGGGACUGAGACACGGCCCAGACUCCUACGGGAGGCAGCAGUUGGGAAUCUUGCGCAAUGGGCGAAAGCCUUACGCAGCCAUGCCGCGUGAAUGAUGAAGGUCUUAGGAUUGUAAAAUUCUUUCACCGGGGACGAUAAUGACGGUACCCGGAGAAGAAGCCCCGGCUAACUUCGUG